rnacentral:tRNA from 1 species
GUCAGGGGCAGGGCGGUUUUGGCCCGGGUGGCUACGGCCCGCCCGCGGGCGGCAACCAGCCCCCCGGCGGCUUCGGACCGCCCGCGGGCG